rnacentral:rRNA from 1 species
UGCAGUCGACGAUGAAGCCCUUCGGGGUGGAUUAGUGGCGAACGGGUGAGUAACACGUGGGCAAUCUGCCCUUCACUCUGGGACAAGCCCUGGAAACGGGGUCUAAUACCGGAUAUCACUCCCGCAGGCAUCUGUGGGGGUUGAAAGCUCCGGCGGUGAAGGAUGAGCCCGCGGCCUAUCAGCUUGUUGGUGAGGUAACGGCUCACCAAGGCGACGACGGGUAGCCGGCCUGAGAGGGCGACCGGCCACACUGGGACUGAGACACGGCCCAGACUCCUACGGGAGGCAGCAGUGGGGAAUAUUGCACAAUGGGCGAAAGCCUGAUGCAGCGACGCCGCGUGAGGGAUGACGGCCUUCGGGUUGUAAACCUCUUUCAGCAGGGAAGAAGCGAGAGUGACGGUACCUGCAGAAGAAGCGCCGGCUAACUACGUGCCAGCAGCCGCGGUAAUACGUAGGGCGCAAGCGUUGUCCGGAAUUAUUGGGCGUAAAGAGCUCGUAGGCGGCUUGUCACGUCGGGUGUGAAAGCCCGGGGCUUAACCCCGGGUCUGCAUUCGAUACGGGCUAGCUAGAGUGUGGUAGGGGAGAUCGGAAUUCCUGGUGUAGCGGUGAAAUGCGCAGAUAUCAGGAGGAACACCGGUGGCGAAGGCGGAUCUCUGGGCCAUUACUGACGCUGAGGAGCGAAAGCGUGGGGAGCGAACAGGAUUAGAUACCCUGGUAGUCCACGCCGUAAACGGUGGGAACUAGGUGUUGGCGACAUUCCACGUCGUCGGUGCCGCAGCUAACGCAUUAAGUUCCCCGCCUGGGGAGUACGGCCGCAAGGCUAAAACUCAAAGGAAUUGAC